rnacentral:lncRNA from 1 species
GAAAAGCCUCAUACAGAGUUACCGCCAGGGAUUUGCUGUUGAACAAACAAAAGAUCCACCGUAGAGGAAACUCUACUGGGGAGCUCAACACGGAUAAGAUCCGUCGUAGAAGAAACUCUACUAGAGAACUUAACAAGGGAUGAUAUGAAACUCCGUGGGGAACAACAGCCAAGCAGAAGUUUCAACAAUCAAAAUAACUUCUUCUUAUCUGCUAGAGGGACAUCUCUGCUAAGGGGAGAGAG